UCUCUUCCUCUGCUGCGUCCUGCCGCUGUUUGAGCUCCUGCUUCCCUCCAGUUUCUUUGACCAGAUGUUCCUCAAGCUGCUGGACUUCUUUCCAGAGUUCAUCAACUGCUGCUGCUGCAGCUCUCUUACAGCUUUAUCAACACUCCCGCUUCUGGGCUGCUGACGAACAGGGAACAAAGGAUGAAGAACCCGGAAGAGAUCCACGUGUUUGGGAAGAGGGGGCGGGGCCAGCGGAACCGGAAAUAAAUGUAUUGUUGUUAUUAUGUAUUACUGUUGCAUGUGUGUUUAUACAGUUGUUUCCAAACACGAUGUUUCAAAGUGAAUAUUUAAAAAAUACGGAUGAAUUGUGUUGAGACAAGGUAACAAUUAAAACGUCGAGCAAUGAGCCAGGAGGCCCCAAAGAAUGAAAAACAUUUGAACAUUAGAACAAACUUCCAAGGAAACACAAAUAUUGUCAGAGUCUGAGUCUGUGUGGGUGUGUUGUGUGUGUAUCAUGUACUUGUCUAUCUAACCAUUCAGUGUUCCAGUUGGUGCUGGAGUUCUCAGCUGAGCUGGAUGACAGGUGAUCCAUCUGCUGAUUGGUCAGAGGAGUACUUAAGAGGGAGGCUGCCAGCACUUCAAUGCCAGAUUGUUUGCCUUAGUGGUUUCUACCUGAGGCUUUGAGAACCUUGAUGAGUUUUUCGACUUUGUUCCAGAGUAUCUGGAUUAUCAACUACUGAAUUAAGGAACUACUUCCUUGUGGAUUUCUCUCACUUCCGUCUGAACCUUUCGGACACAGACCAAGCUGGCAGCUCCCUGUUUCCUUCGUCUCCAGGACCCAGGCAUCAGCACACCCUGCUUCUUCCUUGUUCUCGAACAUCGGCACCUGAGCUCCCUUUUGUUGGCACCAAACUCAUCGCAGAGAAGACAGCUGGACAAUCAUACUUCACAAGUUAAGACUGAGUAUCUCUAUCCCUGGCGGUUCUGGCUACGACAAUUUAUUGGUGUUUCCAGUUCCCGUACUGGACCAUUUUGUUGACAAUAAAAACCAUAAAACUUU